UGGGAAAUGGGAAGAGUAGUGGGGGUUAAUGUGUAGGUAUAUAUAAAUAUAAAAUAUAAUAAUUAAAAAUAUUAACUAAUUAUUUUAAAUUAAUAUACAUAUAAGAAAAGUUAAAUAGCUAAUUAAAAAAUAUAAUCAAGAAACACUAGUUUAUUUAUUAAAGCUAAAAUUAAAAGAAAACAUAUAUUUUUGAAAGUUUUUAUUUCUUUUUGAAU
rnacentral:lncRNA from 1 species